UCCUUUUUCUUCAUUGAGCAAAUAUAUUUACAGCAAGACACCAGGGAUCCUUGGAGGUAUCAUUUUUCAGAAAAGGCCACAUCACUUCAAUAUUUUGUUCAGAAAAGUCAUGGGACACUUACUUUGAGAUUUCCUGUAUUUUGAUGCUGCAAGCGUUCCAAAACCUAAACUUCAUACAGGACAUUCCUUUCUACAGAAUCAUACUAUCUUCAAGUCCACUCCCACAUAUGCUUGAGGUAAGAUCAUUUUUUUAAAAAUAGCUCAAGAAACAGGACUGCUUCUAUAUUGUUCUCUGUCUGUCUGUCAAAGCAAGCUGCUUUGAAGUCUUUGAAAGAAAAGCAGGAUAUAAAUGUGGUAAUUAUGUGCUAAUAUUUCUAGGGAACAGUGUACUUUCUCACAGAUUGCGAAUACCACACAUUUAGGUAAAACAGAAAAUAGUUUGAUGAUGAUAAUUCAGACUCACAACAACCCACCCCCCCCAGGGGGUUCUAGAUAGAAAUACUUAAUAGUGGUUCACCAUUUCCUCCUUCUGGUGGUGCUCUGGGACUGUGUAACAUACUCAAA
rnacentral:lncRNA from 1 species